ensembl:lncRNA
GGGGUAUUCUGUGGGAGGUGCUUCGGGAGUACGGGGUACAUGGCUCUUUGCUACGAGCCAUUCAGGCCCUGUACAAACAAAGCAGGAGCUUGGUUCGCAUGGCCGGCAGUAAGUCAGACUUUUUCCCAGUGAGAGUUGGACUCCGUCAGGGCUGCCCUUUGUCACCGAUUCUAUUCAUAAUUUUUAUGGAUAGAAUUUCUAGGCGCAGUCAGGGGAUGGAGGGUGUCCGGUUUGGUGACCUCAGGGUCACAUCGCUGCUGUUCGCAGAUGAUGUGGUCCUAUUGGGGACAUCAGGCCGUGAACUUCAGCUUUCACUGGAUCGGUUUGCAGCCGAGUGUGAAGCGGCCGGGAUGAGGAUCAGUACCUCCAAAUCCGAGGCCAUGGUUCUCACGCGGGAAAGGGUGGAGAGCCCUCUCUGGGUCGGGGAUGAGCUCUUGCCUCAAGUGGAGGAGUUUAAGUAUCUCGGGGUCUUGUUCACGAGUGAUGGUACAAGGGAGCGGGAGAUUGACAGGCGGAUUGGUGCUGGGUCAGCAGUGAUGCGGGCUCUUUACCGGUCUGUUGUGGUAAAGAAAGAGCUGAGCCAUAAGGCAAGGCUCUCGAUUUACUGGUCGAUCUAUGUUCCCACCCUCACCUAUGGUCAUGAGCUUUGGGUAAUGACCGAAAGAACGAGAUCGCGAAUACAAGCGGCUGAAAUGAGUUUCCUCCGCAGGGUGGCUGGACUCUCCCUUAGAGAUAGGGUGAGAAGUUCGGUCAUCCGAGAGGGACUCGGAGUAGAGCCGCUGCUUCUUCACGUCGAGAGGAGCCAGUUGAGGUGGUUCGGGCAUCUUGUUAGGAUGCCUCCUGGACGCCUCCCUUGGGAGGUGUCACAGGCAAGUCCACCGGGGAGGAGACCCCGGGGAAGACCCAGGACACGCUGGCGUGACUAUAUCGCCCAGCUGGCCUGGGAGCGCCUCGGAAUCCCUCCCAGGGAGCUAGUGGAAGUGGCUGGGGAUAGGGAGGUCUGGGCUUCAUUGCUCAGGAUGCUGCCCCCGCGACCCGAACCCCGGAGAAGCGGAAGAUGAUGGAUGGAUGGAUGG